CCUACGGGGGGCUGCAGUGGGGAAUUUUGGACAAUGGGCGCAAGCCUGAUCCAGCCAUGCCGCGUGAGUGAAGAAGGCCUUCGGGUUGUAAAGCUCUUUCGGUGGGGAAGAAAUUGCUUCGGUUAAUACCUGGAGUAGAUGACGGUACCCGCAUAAGAAGCACCGGCUAACUACGUGCCAGCAGCCGCGGUAAUACGUAGGGUGCGAGCGUUAAUCGGAAUUACUGGGCGUAAAGCGUGCGCAGGCGGUUGUAUAAGUCAGAUGUGAAAUCCCCGGGCUCAACCUGGGAACUGCAUUUGAGACUGUACGGCUAGAGUUUGGCAGAGGGGGGUGGAAUUCCACGUGUAGCAGUGAAAUGCGUAGAGAUGUGGAGGAACACCGAUGGCGAAGGCAGCCCCCUGGGCCAAUACUGACGCUCAUGCACGAAAGCGUGGGGAGCAAACAGGAUUAGAUACCCCUGUAGUC
rnacentral:rRNA from 1 species